CUAUGUUUAAUUUUUACUAACUCUUCAAAAUAAUAAUAAUAAAAUAUAUAAAUAAAGGGUGGAUUAUUUACUGUACAAAUAAACAUAAAAUACUAUCUUGGCAUUUAAAUAAACUGUUGAGUAUUUUGUCUCAAAAGAUAAAAAAUAAAUAAUAAAAAAAUCUGCAGAAUGAGAAAAGAAGUAAAGAAAACGUGAGCAUAUAUAUAAAAAGGGAAAGAAACUCAACUCAACGGUUAUGAGUGACUCUUCCGAAAUCUGAAAACUUCCUUGACCGGUUCGCACAAUAUGAUGUGUGGGUCCCACUAACCAUAACCAUUGGUGUGUUCCGGUUCGGACUCGCUCGAACCAACGGACUCAAACAUAUAACCAUUCCUGAUAGCUUCUUUCCGGCGGAACCUAACCGUGACCGCCUCGCCGCAACCGCUGCCGGUUUAUUCUCCAACGGUGAGUUAUCUACAUCGGUAUAGAAUUUCGUUUGAUUCUCUCUUGAAUUUCCUCGAUUCGAUUCUUCGUAAUUUCGUUGUUUAUUCUGCCGGCGAGGUGAGAGAAUCGCCGAUAACCACGACGGUGAUGAUGACGUUGAUGCCGCCACCGACGAAGAACGAACCUCGCUUGAUUUAUUCGAUCUUGAUUGGAAAAUGUUAGAGAAGAUCGAUAACUUCCCUAUCUUCUUCGACGACGUCGUUUUGUCUCCAUCGCAAGGUUCAGAGAACGUUGGAUUCACCAGCGGCGUGCUGUAGAACGACCGGCCGAAUCGGCGAUCGCGAUCUGUUUUCCGGCGAGGAACGUACGGCGAAACCGACCGUGGAAAAUUCAAACCGACGGAGUCGCCAUGGUCGAGGUUUUUAAGAUCAUCGGAGGAGCGUGGUGUAACACGCGCGU